rnacentral:rRNA from 1 species
UUGGAGGGCAAGUCUGGUGCCAGCAGCCGCGGUAAUUCCAGCUCCAAUAGCGUAUAUUAAAGUUGUUGCAGUUAAAAAGCUCGUAGUUGAAUUUCGGGAUCAGUUGGUCGGUCGUGCCUCGGUACGUACUGGUCAAAUUGAUUCCUACCUUCUGACGAACCACGAUGUCAUUAAUUUGGUGUCGCGGGAAAUCAGGACUGUUACUUUGGAAAAAUUAGAGUGUUUAAAGCAGGCUCGCGCUUGAAUACAUUAGCAUGGAAUAAUGAAAUAGGACGUUUGAUUCUAUUUUGUUGGUUUCUAGGAUCGACGUAAUGAUUAAUAGGGAUAGUUGGGGGCAUUAGUAUUCAAUUGUCAGAGGUGAAAUUCUUGGAUUUAUUGAAGACUAACUACUGCGAAAGCAUUUGCCAAGGAUGUUUUCAUUAAUCAAGAACGAAAGUUAGGGGAUCGAAGACGAUCAGAUACCGUCGUAGUCUUAACCAUAAACUAUGCCGACUAGGGAUCGGAUGAUGUUAAUUUUUUAAUGACUCAUUCGGCGCCUUACGGGAAACCAAAGUGUUUGGGUUC